UGGCGGACGGGUGAGUAACGCGUGGGUAACCUGCCUUACACAGGGGGAUAACACUUAGAAAUAGGUGCUAAAACCGCAUAAGCGCACAGCUUCGCAUGAAGCGGUGUGAAAAACUCUGGUGGUAUACGAUGGUUCCGCGUCUGAUUAGCUAGUUGGUGGGGUAAUGGCCUACCAAGGCAACGAUCAGUAGCCGGCCUGAGAGGGUGAACGGCCACAUUGGGACUGAGACACGGCCCAAACUCCUACGGAAGGCAGCAG
rnacentral:rRNA from 1 species